AUUGAACGCUGGCGGCAGGCCUAACACAUGCAAGUCGAGCGGAUGAAGGGAGCUUGCUCCUGGAUUCAGCGGCGGACGGGUGAGUAAUGCCUAGGAAUCUGCCUGGUCGUGGGGGAUAACGUCCGGAAACGGGCGCUAAUACCGCAUACGUCCUGAGGGAGAAAGUGGGGGAUCUUCGGACCUCACGCUAUCAGAUGAGCCUAGGUCGGAUUAGCUAGUUGGUGGGGUAAAGGCCUACCAAGGCGACGAUCCGUAACUGGUCUGAGAGGAUGAUCAGUCACACUGGAACUGAGACACGGUCCAGACUCCUACGGGAGGCAGCAGUGGGGAAUAUUGGACAAAGGGCGAAAGCCUGAUCCAGCCAUGCCGCGUGUGUGAAGAAGGUCUUCGGAUUGUAAAGCACUUUAAGUUGGGAGGAAGGGCAGUAAGUUAAUACCUUGCUGUUUUGACGUUACCAACAGAAUAAGCACCGGCUAACUUCGUG
rnacentral:rRNA from 1 species